CGGUGGGCUUCACAAGCUGUGGGGCGUCACUGUUAAGGUGAGGUGAGAGAAUUGAGGUUUGGAGUUGUUAAGCAGCUUGCCCAAAGUCACCUUGCAGAAGAUCCCUCUGGCUGCCAUAAGGAGAAUGGAUUGGAAGGAGCCAGUAUGCCUGAGGAAGAUAGAGCUUUUAGGAGUCUCUUGUAGUUG